rnacentral:rRNA from 1 species
GAUGAACGCUGGCGGCGUGCCUAAUACAUGCAAGUCGAGCGAACAGACGAGGAGCUUGCUCCUCUGACGUUAGCGGCGGACGGGUGAGUAACACGUGGAUAACCUACCUAUAAGACUGGGAUAACUUCGGGAAACCGGAGCUAAUACCGGAUAAUAUAUUGAACCGCAUGGUUCAAUAGUGAAAGACGGUUUUGCUGUCACUUAUAGAUGGAUCCGCGCCGCAUUAGCUAGUUGGUAAGGUAACGGCUUACCAAGGCAACGAUGCGUAGCCGACCUGAGAGGGUGAUCGGCCACACUGGAACUGAGACACGGUCCAGACUCCUACGGGAGGCAGCAGUAGGGAAUCUUCCGCAAUGGGCGAAAGCCUGACGGAGCAACGCCGCGUGAGUGAUGAAGGUCUUCGGAUCGUAAAACUCUGUUAUUAGGGAAGUACAAAUGUGUAAGUAACUAUGCACGGCUUGACGGUACCUAAUCAGAAAGCCACGGCUAACUACGUG